rnacentral:rRNA from 1 species
CCCUUAGAUGUUCUGGGCCGCACGCGCGCUACACUGAUGAAUUCAACGAGCACUAACCUGUGCAGAAAUGUUCGGGUAAUCUUGUGAAAUUUCAUCGUGAUGGGGAUUGAUUAUUGCAAUUAUUAAUCAUAAACGAGGAAUGCCUAGUAAGCGUGAGUCAUCAGCUCACGUUGAUUACGUCCCUGCCCUUUGUACACACCGCCCGUCGCUCCUACCGAUUGAAUGUGCUGGUGAAAAGUUCGGAUUGGGAAUAGGAGACGGUAACGUAUCCUGUUUCUGAGAAAAUCUUUAAACCCUCCCAUUUAGAGGAAGGAGAAGUCGUAACA